CGCCCUGCUCUUUGGGGCUGGCGGGGGGCUUUCCCCCACCGCCAGCCCCAAAGAGCAGGUCG
rnacentral:miRNA from 1 species